CCCCCCCGCUUUGGUGCCAUUUUUGGUUUGAUUUUCUUUUCUCCAUAACUACAUCAUUUCUUAACCAAAUCAAGUGAUUUUUGUGUUGAAAUUCAAUGGAAAUCACCUUCUAAACACAUUGGUACCACUCUUGAGCCUUGAAACUCUCUCUUUGGUGAGAUAUUGGCCAUUUACAGCCACGAAAUUUUGGAGAAAAAUGGUGUUCAUGGAGUUGUUUGGAGCUCCAAUGGUUUAGGAUAGCUUGGAGGAGUCUUGUGCCAAGCUUUUGAGUUGCCGUACAUCGACUUGAAUCCCGAAUCUUGAUUCAGUGAGUUGCCAUUGGUCUUGGACCAAGUGGAUUGAGGCAUUCUAUUGUGUACCAAGUUGAGGGAUAAGCUGCUGCGGAGCUUGUGAAAACAAUACUUAAGGAUGUACCUGUAGCGUUGGAGCAGCGGGCAAGAGGCCCGCAGGGUGAUAGAGGAACAUUUUCAGUAUUUGGCAUAUUGUUCAUGUUGGCAUGCCUAGGUCUAGCAGUUUGUAUCAUUUAAAUUUAUGUCUAAAUUUGUAAUUGGUGUUGUAAUAUUGUAA